GACGAACGCUGGCGGCGUGCUUAACACAUGCAAGUCGAGCGGAAAGGCUCCUUCGGGGGUACUCGAGCGGCGAACGGGUGAGUAACACGUGAGUAAUCUGCCCUGCGCUCUGGGAUAGCCACCGGAAACGGUGAUUAAUACCGGAUAUGACCGCUACACGCAUGUGUUGGUGGUGGAAAGUUUUUCGGCGCAGGAUGUGCUCGCGGCCUAUCAGCUUGUUGGUGAGGUAAUGGCUCACCAAGGCUUUGACGGGUAGCCGGCCUGAGAGGGUGACCGGUCACACUGGGACUGAGACGCGGCCCAGACUCCUACGGGAGGCAGCAGUGGGGAAUAUUGGACAAUGGGCGGAAGCCUGAUCCAGCAACGCCGCGUGAGGGAUGACGGCCUUCGGGUUGUAAACCUCUUUCAGUACCGACGAAGCGUAAGUGACGGUAUGUGCAGAAGAAGGACCGGCCAACUACGUGCCAGCAGCCGCGGUAAGAC
rnacentral:rRNA from 1 species